AUAACAGUAUGCACACUCAGAACUAUGUAGAUCCGACAAAUAACGACGUCUAUACGCAAAAUGUGGAGAAUAUAUGGAUGCAGGUAAAAAGAAAAUUACGACGUCAAUUUGGAAUCUGAGACAAUUUAUUGGUUUCAUAUUUACACGAGUUUAUAUGGAGGAAUUCUGUAACAAUGAAAAAAACUUUUGUUCACUUUUUGGUGGCUAUAGGCAAUGUCUACGUUGUUUAACAGUAAGUUGGCUUAUUUAACUCCCCUUGUUAUUGCCCCCUUUAAUUUUUAUUUACUUUUUUUAAAACAUCAUAUACUGAAAGUUUACCCGUCUUUGUAAUCUCGAAAAGUAUCGUAACCAUUGGUCCUACCGUCUGGCUGUGAAGAGGGGACAGACAAACAGACAUAACGCCCAUUAUAGUAAGAUAGCAAAUCUGCCUAUCUACGUUGGGAAAUAACGGGAUAGUAUCGCAAAUCUAAGCCCUUUAAAAUCACGACCUAUACGUGGGUGGGGGGGGUGGAGGGAGGAUCCAGAAUUAAUUCUCGUCGCUGGAAUUUUAACAAAAAAAAUCAAAGGUGAUUUAUUAAUGCAAAACUCAGUAUCCAGUAAAUAGUCAUACUUUUUCCCAUUUUGUCAAAUUGAAUAGAUCCCAUUUUUUUCGCUAAAAAUCUUCCUACCUCCUUCGUAAUCCCGAAAAAACACCGUGACUAUUGAUCCAGCUGUUUCACCGUGAAGAGGGAACAAACAGACGGACGUAAUGCCCAUUAUGGUAAGAUUUAGUAAUUAUGUAUUUAAUUGUAAACUUUAAAGCGAACUGUAAUAAUGGGCGCUUUUCAUUUUUGCAGGAUGUCACCCUCUGUUCGUGAUAACCGGUGGACGUAUAAAAUACGAGAAAGUACACAUAAAACCGGUGUGCAAUUAAACAAAACUAAUUGAUGACGAAAACCAACUCAAGAUUAAGAUAACCGCAAAUUAUUUCAAGUUAAUUACGUGGUUUAUUACACCUUACAGAAAGGCAUGAUUACAAUAUUUCACUUCAGUAAAACUUCAACCAUACAUCAAUGUAACACGCAGAGUAUGACAAAACAAAAAUAAAACUCCUACGUGGAUUGUUUAUAUAGAUGCAAAUGUAAAUAUAUACGACAUUUCGAUAACGAAAAUAAACAAAUAUGCAAAUUAAAAAUAGCUACGUACCAGAAUAUGGCUGGUAACAUACAGCCUGUAGUAAAGCGCAAGAUAUGUCAACGAAUAUAGACUGAUGUUUAUUUAGUUCAAUAAUUAAGAUGCACAAAGUGCUCGGUGCUUUAUUUAUACCAAGUGUGAUAACUCUUACUAUCGAGAAACCAAGUUAGGUAACUCUUGCAUUCUUGUAACCAAGAGAGAUAACUUUCUUGGUUCCACGUCUACAAGAAAAAGAGGUCCUCGCCGAAAAUAAACUUUUCGGUAAAAGCAAUGUUUUUACCUUGGAUAUCAAGAAAGCCUUUCACCGUAUCUGGCAUGGAAAUUUCCUAUCAAACUUCUCACCCAAGAGUUACCACCACCUCUUAUCUCUUGGAUUGGUAGCUGCCUUUCAGAUCGCAAAAUCGUGACACAGCCUCUUCCUUCAGACUCAACAUUUAAAAAAAAGUAAAUAAAUAAGAAAAAGAUAGCUAUUCUAAAGACCCUCAAUAUUCCACUUUUUCACCAACUUCUGCGGGGAAAACCUGCACAUAGUCAUCACGAUUUCCCAUCCAAACCAUUAACCGGUAGCAACUCGCAUUAAAUAUGGAAAGCACUAAUGUCAGUUCUCAGUAGUCCUAGACUAGAAAGACAUAAAAAUAUAUAAACAGUUUUCUUUAAUUCUCUGACAACCUCAUAACGAAUCGGUAUUGUAUUAUUGACUAUGAGGUUAUUUUAAGUUACUGCAGAUAUAUAUAUAUGUGUCUUCAUUAAACAAUCGUUUUGAUGAAAAACUGGCGAAAUAUUAAUUUUAUUGGAAUAUAAUAUGUAUGUAUAUGAUACAUAUAUAAUACAAAUCCACGUUAAAAAUACAAACUUAAAAUCUGGAAAAAAGUGGGAAAAGAGGAACAAAGAAAAAAGAGGAAAAAAACCACAUUUAUUCAACACCAAGUGCCUCAACUGGUUGCUCAUCACAAGCUUCAACAGAACCUACUGAAGCAAGUCAACAUGCUUGCAGCGUUACCUUGGGCGAUUGCGAGGCUAACGCAUUGGAACAGCCAGGGUACCCU
rnacentral:lncRNA from 1 species